AUUGCUCCUAACCCCCUGCCGCGGUGCCCGCUGCUGCCACCAGGUGGCUCUCCUGCCUCUCUGGCUGCCUCUCAGCUUUGCCCGGCUCUCGAGCAGGUCCCUGGGGAGAGACCGGCCGAAAGGGGCACAGGGACAGAGGGAGCCGGACAAAGGGCCGGCUGGGGAAGCCGUGCAGCACGCCGGAGUAUUGGAGGUUUCCCUCGCUCCAUAAAGCACAGGGAGUUUGCCUCCGUGGAGAAGUGGCCAUUCAAUUCGAUCCAGAGUAUUUAUGAAGCACCUACUACGGGCCAGGCACUGCUGACACAAAGACAGGCACCUGAAAGGUGCGGAGGGGAGGGUAAAUCCGCACAAAAACGUUUAUAAAAAUAAUUCUGUCAGCCGCGGAAAUGGGGAAAGGCUUCUUGUAGGAGGCGCCCCCAGAACCUGGAAGGGGCUAAGAGUCAGAGGGAGGAGGGAGAACGUUCCAGGGCAGCCUGUGCAAGGGCAGGAUGAGAAGCCCGGAGACGGCGGGAAAUGGAGAAACGUGGCCUUUAAUGAAUAAUGUUCGAUGGCAACUAAUAAUGUAAAUGAUUAUUGGAAGGGGAAAAUGCCUCAGUGACCACGUGAAUUACAGCCCGAGGCUCUGCCAGCAGAGUUCCCCGGAACAGGGAUCAGUAGCCACAGGACUGGAAAGUGAAUUAGCAUCCACCCUGAUGGCCGUGCCCAGGAGGCAGCGCUGCGGCCAGAGCAAAGCCUGGAGAGGUUUCAGGGCAGGAGACCCCCGGCUUCCCAACCAACGCCAGGCCCGAGACAACGGGGUCUUCCCCUUCUCUAGCAGGGACAGAGGGACCCCUCUCUAAACGCCCCGUUUCUUCAGAGCAGCUCUUCUCCUGGAGGUUAUUAUGGAACUCCCUGAUCUGUUUUCCUGCCACCCCGACCUGUUCUUGCACAUGGCAGCUGAUAGACUGAUAUUCAUGAAUGUACAAUUCUGUCAUCUUCAGACAGUUUGGAUCUCGUUUUUUCUCUCCUUAAGAACCUUCCAAGGCUCUCCGUUGGCUG
rnacentral:lncRNA from 1 species